CACAACGGGCAUAACACAAUACGGUGGCGCUUCGCUCGCUGGCACUCGUGAUAUCAUAACCUGCAGUGUUGUACAUGUCUCUUUUGUUAGCCAAGACCAUGGCGAUGAUAGCGUCACAUGUACGAAGCUUUGUGUGAGCUUCGUUUAGUGGAACCUAGUUUUCAGUGAACCUUUUCUGUGAAGGAGAACGACAAGUUCAUGUCCCACGAGUAGAAUUCGCUGUUGUCGCGUGCUAGGAUAUUAUCAACAGCUAUAAUGGACCAUGCAGACGUAUUGUAUCUUCUUUUGAGCAUAUGCGUGAUUCCGUCACAUCUUGCAAGCGCUGUUAAAGAAGGCACCCCAAAAUUGAAUGACAGAUGCUUAAAGGAAACAACAGUGGAAGGCUGCGAAACCAUCCUCCUAAGUUGGAGCUAUAGCAAUGAAAGCAAUACAUGCGAAAAAGGCUUCGUGUGUUAUGGAUGCGAUAACCGAUUUGACAGUCACGACGAAUGCACUACUACCUGCCCAAUGUUACCAAUACCUGCUGCAAAACCAAAACCGAAACCAAUGCUAAAACGAAGGAACUGCAGGUUUUGGCUUAUGCGUGGUGGAUCCUGCCAAAAGAUUUGGUUCGAAUUCAAGAAAACCAAGUCGGGGAUAAUGCGCCGACUACUAUAUUACACUGGCUGCCGGCAAGAAAAGAACAGAUUAUUUGAAUAUGACUUCUAUAGGAAGAAAUGUCACGAGAUCAAGAAUCGUGCGUCUGAAAAAAUUCAAGAGCAACAAGGGAAAGGCGGAUCCAAUAGACUCCCCGGCAAAGGACGAAGACGGAAACCUACAAGUUCAGGAGCAUCGAACGAUGAACCCUCCACAUACGAAGUCGCUGACCAAAGAGCUCGAGCAUGAGCACAGAAAAAUCAGUGUUUAUAGUCUAGCGUUCAUGGAUAAAGCAAUGCACAGAAUGCGGCA